CCUACGGGUGGCAGCAGUAGGGAAUAUUGCUCAAUGGGGGAAACCCUGAAGCAGCAACGCCGCGUGGAGGAUGAAGGUUUUAGGAUUGUAAACUCCUUUUGUGAGAGAAGAUAAUGACGGUAUCUCACGAAUAAGCACCGGCUAACUCCGUGCCAGCAGCCGCGGUAAUACGGAGGGUGCAAGCGUUACUCGGAAUCACUGGGCGUAAAGCGUGCGCAGACGGGCGUGUAAGUCAGAUGUGAAAUCCUGUAGCUUAACUACAGAACUGCAUUUGAAACUAUGAGUCUAGAGUGUGGGAGAGGUAGGUGGAAUUCUUGGUGUAGGGGUGAAAUGCGUAGAUAUCAAGAGGAAUACUCGUGGCGAAGGCGACCUACUGGACCAUUACUGACGCUCAUGCACGAAAGCGUGGGGAGCAAACAGGAUUAGAUACCCGAGUAGUC
rnacentral:rRNA from 1 species